UCACAGCCCAUCUGCUGUGAAAUCACAGCGCACAUCCUUUGUGACAGUUCAAGCAUCGCCAUGGCAACGUGCUGUGAUGUGAUCAGCCCUGAGUUAUGACCUCACUGCGGGACUGGGCAGGCCAGGUUGCUUUGGCAGAAGGAAUAAAAAUCAACUUCUGUAUUAACAAAAGUGGGAUUUAUGCUACAAGCCAAUGGGAUUUGGCCUGGCCUAAAAGCCAGGCUAAAACCCUCUCUGGAGGUUUUUAGAGGACUUUAGUGCUAGGACUGGGGGGGGGGGGGCAUGCACUUGAAAAAUCGUGUAUUUUUUUCCCUAGAGAAAGUUACUUUCUUUGAGAAGUCUUUCCCACCAGUUUAUGUCACUAUUUCAAUAGAAAUCCUCGGAAUUUUUAAGGCUUUUUUUCCUGUUUUUUUUUUCUUCCCGUGUAUCCAUAGAUUGAAAGUGCUAGAGACCAAAAUCUCUUCUACCUAUUUGGAGGCAGGUGCUGCAUGGCCGGUGGCAAUGCAUACUUCACCUAUGCUCCCCUAUGGCUUUGCCCCGACCCAAUCCAGAAGAUAACAGAGCUGGGGUUAGUGGUUUGACUUUCUGAGGCAUUCAUCUCUCACCUCCCUGCUGAGUCUGGCAUGAAGGGUGACAAGACUGGAAGCCUUUGUGGACAACUGGAGUGGAUUAGCCACCAAAGACCGCCCAGCGGCCUCCAGCAAGUUUUUACAGCUGAGCUACUUUCCAGCCCCAGAAAAUGCAGUGCAGCCCCUGAACUAUUGAAGUGCAAAUGGCUUGACCGUAAUCUAGGAAGAUCCAAGAGAAACAGGUCAAAUGUUACACUAAACAGUUAUGGCAACAUAUUUUACCAGCGGGAGGACAGAAGCAUGUUUACCCUGGGCAGGUUUAAUGUGAGAAGAUAAAAAUCUCUUUUCUGAAAGUGAA